GAUGAACGCUGGCGGCGUGCCUAAUACAUGCAAGUCGAGCGAAUGGAUUAAGAGCUUGCUCUUAUGAAGUUAGCGGCGGACGGGUGAGUAACACGUGGGUAACCUGCCCAUAAGACUGGGAUAACUCCGGGAAACCGGGGCUAAUACCGGAUAACAUUUUGAACCGCAUGGUUCGAAAUUGAAAGGCGGCUUCGUCUGUCACUUAUGGAUGGACCCGCGUCGCAUUAGCUAGUUGGUGAGGUAACGGCUCACCAAGGCAACGAUGCGUAGCCGGCCUGAGUGGGUGAUCGGCCACACUGGGACUGAGACACGGCCCAGACUCCUACGGGAGGCAGCAGUAGGGAAUCGUCCGCAAUGGACGAAAGUCUGACGGAGCAACGCCGCGUGAGUGAUGAAGGCUUUCGGGUCAUAAAACUCUGUUGUUAGGGAAGAACAAGUGCUAGUUGAAUAAGCUGGCACCUUGACGGUACCUAACCAGAAAGCCACGGCUAACUACGUGCCAGCCGCCGCCGUAA
rnacentral:rRNA from 1 species